UACGGAGGAUGCGAGCGUUAUCCGGAUUUAUUGGGUUUAAAGGGUGCGUAGGCGGUCUUUUAAGUCUGAUGUGAAAGCCUUCGGCUUAACCGGAGUAGUGCAUUGGAAACUGGGAGACUUGAGUGCAGAAGAGGAGAGUGGAACUCCAUGUGUAGCGGUGAAAUGCGUAGAUAUAUGGAAGAACACCAGUGGCGAAAGCGGCUCUCUGGUCUGUAACUGACGCUGAGGUUCGAAAGCGUGGGUAGCAAACAGG
rnacentral:rRNA from 1 species